rnacentral:rRNA from 1 species
UUUUAUAUUUAUCAUGAGUUUUUACACAAAUUCAUGCUGAGAUAUGUAUGUAUUGGGUUAAGAUGAAUCCUUAACUAAUAUCUUCAGAUGUUUCUAUCUCCAAUCAAUAGAUGUACCAGAUAGUGACAGAGUAUAAACUUCAUGUAUAUACAAUAGAUUAAAAGAAGCAAGGUGUCACAGUUAAGGCUUAAACUCUUAAGCUAAAAUAAUCUAUGAACUCUCUUUGUUAUUAAAUUAGAAAUUUUCCUUAUAUUAAGUGAAUUCAAUUGUCCAUAUAUAAUUUUAAAAAUAAUUUAACCCUAUAUGUGUCUCUCUAAUUUCAAGAAAGGUGAUUUAAUUGAACUAUUUUCCUUCCCCUAGUGCUUCUCCUAAUAUAAAAUUACUCUGAUAGCUCAAGUAGGUGAAAAGAAAAAAUCACAUAGUAUUUUAUUUUUGUUAGAUUGACCAAAAUUUAAAAUCUAAUCAUUUAUAUUUUUUUAUUCACUUUAUUCUGAAUGCCACAAUAAUAGCAUUUAGUUGUUUAUUUUAUACAUAUUUUGUUGGGUAUGGGGGAAAUACAAAGUCUCAAUUUUUAUUCUAUUUCUCUCUCCAAAUUUUAGGUUUUUAAUAUUGAAUAAUAUGCCAUUUGAGUGAUUUCUAUCUAUUAUAUUCUAGUGUAUUUUUAUUUUAAUUACAAUAUUUAUAUUAAUGGUUACUUCAAUCUUAAUUUAUUAUAUCACUAAAUACAUCGUUAUGAAAGAUGAAAGUCUUAGUUUUUCUAAUGAAAAAUUUGGCCUGGUGUGUGUCUUUGCUAUAUUUUUAUUUUCUUAUUAUUUGAUACUCCUAUUUUAUCAAAGUCUAUACCCCUUUUAUAUAUGAACUUUACCAUGUGUGCUAUUUUUUCUUUAUUAUAUUGUAGGUUUAUAAUCUUCAAUUGUUGAUGUGUGGUAAAUAUAACAUGGAAAACAAUUUAUGCAAACAUUAUAUUAUUUUAUUAAAUAAGACAACAUGACACAUUUAAAACUAUAUUUGUGUAGUAACCAUCCAAACAGGUAAGAUGAAACUGCUUGCAAAUGAAAAACAUAACGUUUUCUUUUAUCUGACUUAAUGUGAAUUCAGAUUAAUCGAACUAAAUUUUAUUUUUUCUUUUUCAGAGUUUUUUUCUUGAUAAAAAUAGUGGGAAGAAGCAUUUUUUGAUAGCACCAAGAUAUCUCUUAAUUUCAAAGAAUGAUGAUGCAUACUAUUGGCAAUGGGGUCAAUGCCUCAAUUCUAGGUUCAUCUUUUUUCAUUUUCUUAAUUUGAUCUGCAACUUUAUUGAUCUACAAAUACAUUUUUAUUUGAGAGGUUUUAUUCAAAAAAGUAGUUUGCCUCCUUUCCUCUUCUAUUUACUAACUUUUCCCUUUAUAUCAAUUAUGUGAUUGAUACUUGGUUCUCCAAAGCUUGGAGAUCCAACAACAAUCACAUAACUUUAUAGAUAGCAUACAAUAAAAUAACCCAAGUUAGAUCAUAGAUAUAUAAGAACCCAAAUAGUAGCAAUACUUAAAAAUAAAUAAGCUUUUUUAAUUGAAAAAGAAAUGACCUAGACAUUAUUGUUGAAGCUGACCUAAAUAGAUCAGUUAAAAAGAAUGAAUUGUUAUGAAAAAAAAUAAAAAAAAUCAAAUGAUUUGACACUUUCAUGUCUAACUUAUAUAAUAUAUAACCUAAAAGCUAUGCAUAAAUGCUAUUGUAUUAGUAGAAACUUAAAGGACAAGCAAAUAAAUAUAUAUGAAUGUGAAGGAUAAUAUUACCUUCAUUUGUUUGUAUCCUACAAUUAUAGAUAAUUAUUUCCUUCAUUUUGUGCACUUAAUAAGACAUUAAGGCAUUUUAUCGGGUUUGAAAAAAUCACAAAAACUUACACUAUGCAUUCUAUAUGCAUAUUAAUAUUGGGUAGUAGAAGAAACUAACUGUUAAUUAUGACUUCAUAAUUGAUAGUGGCUCAACAUGGAAAAUUUGCACAAAUAAUGAAUUGGGAUAGGAGAUGUUAGAUUAAUAUGACAACUAAGAACAAAGAUUACCAUAAAAGAAUGUGAAAUAGUUGAUGGAGUUGCUCCUUUCUCAACUAGGUUUCAGGUUUGAACUCUGGAUAUGAAAUAAAUCUUGGUAGGAAAUACUUCUGGACUAGCUAAAGGUGCGGACUACCUACACCUAGAUAGAAAGAUCCUAUGAAGCUUCACUAUUCCCUGGGAUUGACUUUGGGCCUUUCCUGCGCAGCUUAGGUGGAAGGCGAAGAAGGCCUCUUUCUGGGGGCGGGGGGUGGGGGUGGAGCCAUCAGUGAGAUACCACUCUUGAAGGGCUAGAAUUCUAACUUUGUGUCAGGACCUACGGUCCAAGGGAUAGUCUCAGGUAGAGAGUUUCUAUGGGAAAUAGGCCUCCCAAAAGGUAAUGGAGGCGUGCAAAGCUUUCCUCGAGCCGGAGAUAGAUUGGCCCUCGAGGGCAAAGGCAGAAGGGAUCUUGACUACAAGAUCCACCGUCGAGCAGGGACGAAAGUCGGCCUUAGUGAUCAGACGGUGCCGAGUGUAAGGGACAUCGCUCAAUGGAUAAAAGUUACUCUAGCGAUAACACGCUGAUCUUCCCCAAGAGCUCUCAUCGAAGGGAAGGUUUGGCACCUCUAUGUCGGCUCUUCACCACCCGGGGUUGUAGUAUGUUCCAACGGUUAGGCUAUUCACCCAUUAAAGCGGUACAUGAGCUGGGUUCAGAAUGUCGUGAGACAGUUCGGUCCAUAUUCGGUGUAGGCGUUAGAGCAUUGAGAGGACCUUUCCCUAGCAUAAGAGGACCGUGAAGGACGCACCUCUGGUGUACCAGUUAUCGUGCCCAUGUUAAACGCUGGAUAGCCAAGUGCGGAGUGGAUAACUGCUGAAAGCAUCUAAGUAGUAAGCCCACCCCAAUAUGAGUGAUCUCCUAUUCCGACUUCACUAGAGCUUUCGGUAGCACAGCCGAGACAGCGACGGGUUCUCUGCCCCUGCGGGGAUGGAGCGACAGAAGUUUUUUUGAGAAUUAAAGAGAAGGUCACGUUGAGACGAGCUGUUUAUCAGUACGAUAGGUGUAAAGUGGAACUGCAGUGAUGUAUGUAGCUGAGGCAUCCUAAUAGACCGAAUCACUGUU